UACGGAGGGGGCUAGCGUUGUUCGGAAUUACUGGGCGUAAAGCGCGCGUAGGCGGACCAGCAAGUUGGGGGUGAAAUCCCGGGGCUCAACCCCGGAACUGCCUUCAAAACUGUUGGUCUGGAGGUCGAGAGAGGUGAGUGGAAUUCCGAGUGUAGAGGUGAAAUUCGUAGAUAUUCGGAGGAACACCAGUGGCGAAGGCGGCUCACUGGCUCGAUACUGACGCUGAGGUGCGAAAGCGUGGGGAGCAAACAGG
rnacentral:rRNA from 1 species